GCGUUAGUGGUAUAAUGGUUAGCAUUGUUGCCUUCCAAAUUCGGAGUAAGCAAUAGACCCGGGUUCGAUUCCCGGCUAACGCA
rnacentral:tRNA from 1 species